rnacentral:rRNA from 1 species
CUGAGGUUAUAAAGGGCUGCGGUAAUUUGACCGUGCAAAGGUAGCAUAAUCAAUAGUCUUUUAAUUGGGGGCUUGAAUGAAAGGUUUGACGGAAGAGAAGCUGUCUCUUACUAUUAAUGUUGAAUUUGACGUUUGUGUGAAAAGGCGCUAAUAAUUUAGAGGGACGAUAAGACCCUAUAAAACUUUACAUUUAGAAUAUUUUUUAACAAAAUUGAUUAGUAAGUGUUAGUUUAUAAAUUUUGUUUUGCUGGGGCGGUGGAAAUAUAAGUUUAACUGUUUUAUGUUUAAAAUAUUAUUAAGUAGAGAAUGAUCCUUUAUUAAGGAAAUAAGAGUAAGUUACUUUAGGGAUAACAGCAUAAUUUUUUCUGAGAGUUCCUAUCGAAGAUAGUAGUUGUGACCUCGAUGUUGAAUUAAAUUUUCCUUUAGAUGUAGGAGUUUAAAGGG